rnacentral:lncRNA from 1 species
GAGUGGUCUCGUCCCGGGAUCCCCUUCGGUCCUCCGGAUGGAGUUGCCGGGGGGAGAAGCGAGCGGACAUCCAGCUGAACAGCUUCGGUUUCUACACCAAUGGCUCUCUGGAGGUGGAGUUGAGCGUCCUGCGGCUGGGCCUCCGGGAGGCAGAAGAGAAGUCCCUGCUGGUGGGGUUCAGUCUCAGCCGGGUUCGGUCUGGCAGAGUUCGCUCCUAUUCAACCCGGGAUUUCCAGGACUGCCCUCUCCAGAAAAACAGUAGCAGUUUCCUGGUCCUGUUCCUCAUCAACACCAAGGAUCUGCAGGUCCAGGUGCGGAAGUAUGGAGAGCAGAAGACGUUGUUUAUCUUUCCCGGGCUCCUCCCGGAAGCACCCUCCAAACCAGGGCUCCCGAAGCCACAGGCCACAGUCCCCCGCAAGGUGGAUGGCGGAGGGACCUCUGCAGCCAGCAAGCCCAAGUCAACACCCGCAGUGAUUCAGGGUCCUAGUGGGAAGGACAAGGACCUGGUGUUGGGCCUGAGCCACCUCAACAACUCCUACAACUUCAGUUUCCACGUGGUGAUCGGCUCUCAGGCGGAAGAAGGCCAGUACAGCCUGAACUUCCACAACUGCAACAAUUCAGUGCCAGGAAAGGAGCAUCCAUUCGACAUCACGGUGAUGAUCCGGGAGAAGAACCCCGAUGGCUUCCUGUCGGCAGCGGAGAUGCCCCUUUUCAAGCUCUACAUGGUCAUGUCCGCCUGCUUCCUGGCCGCUGGCAUCUUCUGGG